AUUGAACGCUGGCGGCAUGCUUUACACAUGCAAGCCGAACGGUAACAGGCCGCAAGGUGCUGACGAGUGGCGAACGGGUGAGUAAUGCAUCGGAACGUGCCCAGUCGUGGGGGAUAACGCAGCGAAAGCUGCGCUAAUACCGCAUACGAUCUAUGGAUGAAAGCGGGGGACCGUAAGGCCUCGCGCGAUUGGAGCGGCCGAUGUCAGAUUAGGUAGUGGGUGGGGUAAAGGCUCACCAAGCCAACGAUCUGUGGCUGGUCUGAGAGGACGACCAGCCACACGGGGACUGAGACACGGCCCAGACUCCUACGGGAGACAGCAGUGGGGAAUUUUGGACAAGGGGCGCAAGCCUGAUCCAGCAAUGCCGCGUGCAGGAAGAAGGCCUUCGGGUUGUAAACUGCUUUUGUACGGAACGAAACGGUCCGGGUUAAUACCUGGGGCUCAUGACGGUACUGUAAGAAUAAGCACCGGCUAACUACGUGCCAGCAGCCGCCGUAACAC
rnacentral:rRNA from 1 species